rnacentral:pre_miRNA from 1 species
AAAUUACUCCCUCCGUCCCAAAAUUCUUGUCUUAGAUUUGUCUAGAUACGGAUGUAUCAAGUCACAUUUUAGUAUUAGAUACAUCCGUAUCUAGACAAAUAUAAGACAAGAAAUUUGGGACAGAGGGAGUAGUUG